AGCAGAGUAAAUGGCCCAAAAUGGCGGCCAUCAGGUUUCCCACCAUUGGAAUGACAGGCAACAGGACCAUGCAUCUGACGAGUGGUUAUUCCUCUUUCCUCUGCUACCAAAUUGAUCGCAUUAUUCGGAUGAUCUUUACCAGCUGGAAGUUAUCGCUUGGACACGAAAUGGAGCUCUCUUGGUUCUUAUCGAGGCGUAAGAGGUGUAGUGGAGAAUCAGCUGGCUUCAGUGCAGACACAGCUGCAAAGGCAAAUUCUAGAUUCGUGUCCCAGCAAUAAGAGGUGGAUCAGUCUUCAAAAUGGAUGUUGAACUCCAGAGAGAAAAGAGUCCAAGUGACGUUAGCUUCUCAUUUGCUGGUUACACAGAAGGCGGCAAUGCUGAAUGAAUUCGUAUCUAAGCUGCCUUGUGGUCCGGUGCAAUUCUUGGAAGUGUCAUGUUGGAUUGUUUGCUUAAUAAUACUGAUUUGUAAGAAAUCAUGAAAGUAUCCAUUUGAUAACUUCAUCAGUGGGAAAACAUUACGUUCCAUCGGCUGUGCCUUGAAAUAAAGCAAGUACUUAUGGCAAUAGAUAUAUUGAAAGUGUUAAAAAAUAAAAAGGUCCUAUUACUUAGGAUCUGUGUAAAAAGGAAUGGAGUCCUCCAAAGAGUCUUCAGGGGUUUCUCCUACUUUCCUUCGGGCAGUGACACCGUAAUAAUUUGGUUACAGCGAUGUCAUUAUGCCACGACAGCAGUGGAUUUUCUCCCCCGAGGUGAUGUGGACAUCACCCAGCUUUAAGACACAACUUACCUUCUGUCUACAGUUUUAUUUUGUUGGUACCGGAUUCGAAAUAAAAUGAAGUGUCAGUUGGUGUA